AGUCCUCUUUUUUAUUUUCUAGUUCAUCAUCUGAGAAGAUUUUGCCAAAAUGUGUCUCCAAUAAGAGGGUCAUUGGAGACGUAUUUUGUCAAUCCGCGUCUUAGAUGAGUGAUCAUUGGAGACGCAUUUUGUCAAUCCUCGUCUCUGAUGAGAGUUAUUUGUCCGCGUCUCCGAUGUGUUCACAUUAGUGACACAAAUUUAGAGGUGCAAAAAACUGACGUAUCUGAUGUGUGUUGAGCCACGUCUCUAAUGAGUGAUUCUUACAUAGUGACUUUUGAACCUAGGAGUAUGAACACUUUGUUAGCUUGGAUGUCUUCUUAAUCUGUAUGAACCUCCACUGGACUCUUGCAGUUUGCUCCUACAGCUAGUAAUGCAGUUAGGAUAGGAACAUUUUUUGGUCAUUUCUUUUAGCAUAAUAUAUUCCUAUGCAACAUCGGAUAUUACAGUGGCCCAUGGUUAAAUUUCUUCACGCAAACAAGCUCCCUGGACAUUCAUCCAAUGAAACACUCAGGAUCUUCCUCUGCAAAAUCUGACGCACCAUCAGAUAUUUCAGUUGAAUGGUAUGCAAACAGGACUGACCAGUGUGCACAAACCGGUCUGAUCAGUUUGGGUGACUUCAUAAAAAUGCAAACUUGACUGUACCAUUGCGCAGCUCUCGUCGAGAAGAUCGAAAUGUAUAUAUAGAACAUCCGAUUUGGAGUUCAGAUGAGAGAGUUAUGACUUCGGAAAACUUGACCUAGGAAAAGCAAGCCAGACCGGUCAAUUCGGUUUUCAAAAUCAGUGAAACCGGUUUUAGCUACGUAAUCUAAAUUAGGAGUUAUAUUUUCAUACGUGAUUUCUAUGAGUUUUGACUUCUAAUCAGAUAAGACUUCCCCUCCCUAUAAAUAAAGAGCCACAAC